CAGGGUACAUACUGGCGACCAGAACAUUAGAAAUUGUCAAUCAAACAUCCACCACACCUUAAUUGCGACAAAUAAUUUAGAAAGAAAGGAAACUUAUUACCUCAUUUCAAUAGUUAAACGUAAUUCUAAUUUUGAACCGGAUCGUCACCAAAUGAAUGAACUUGGGAGAUUGGAAUGAGCCAGGGGAUGACAAGUGGAGCAAAGAUUCUGUGCGUGCCUAACACGUGGGUGGUGUUGUGGCGACAGCCGCUAGCCCAGUUAGAAAGAUGUCCUAAAAUCAGUUAGCCAGAGUCGUCAUCCAGUGUGGCAUAUAGUGGCAGUAUUUGCUGAACGUUAGGUCCACCUCUUAUCCUCAAUAACUGACCCAUCACGAAAUGGCUUUGCAGAUUCUUCGUUAAUGGUGAAGGCAGAACUUAGAAGAUAAUUGUAGAGGUGACACG
rnacentral:lncRNA from 1 species